rnacentral:misc_RNA from 1 species
UUGAUUCAUUUUGUAAAUCACUCAGACGUAGAUUCCGCCGGCGGCGAAUGCAGUGUUUGGGUCCCCCGGCGGGCGCCUGGGUCCGGGCCGCCUCCCCUGGGGGGUCGCGGCGCCGGGGCGCCCCGCCGAAGCAACGUGCGGUAUGUUCACAGGGGUUUGGGAGUCUGAACUCGGUAAUGAUCCCUCCGCUGGUUCACCAACGGAGA